GGCCUUUAAAGGUGAAACCGCGAACGGCUCAUUAUAACAGCUAUUAUAUACUUGAUGUUGAUGUGUUACGUGGAUAACUGUGGUAAUUCUAGAGCUAAUACAUGCACCAAAGCUCCGAUUUUUUGACGAGCGCAUCUAUUAGAUUAAAACCAAUCGGGUUUCGGCCCUAAAUUGGUGACUCUGAAUAACUGUAGCUGAUCGCAUGGUCCAGAACCGGCGACGUGCUAUCAAGUGUCUGCCUUAUCAACUGUCGAUGGUAGUUUAUGUGCCUACCAUGGUUGUAACGGGUAACGGAGAAUAAGGGUUCGACUCCGGAGAGGGAGCCUGAGAAACGGCUACCACAUCCAAGGAAGGCAGCAGGCGCGCAAAUUACCCACUCUCGGCAUGAGGAGGUAGUGACGAAAAAUAACGAGAACCGUUCUCUAUGAGGCCGGUUAUCGGAAUGGGACAAUUUAAACCCGUUAACGAGGAUCUAUGAGAGGGCAAGUCUGGUGCCAGCAGCCGCGGUAAUUCCAGCUCUCAAAGUGUAUAUCGUCAUUGCUGCGGUUAAAAAGCUCGUAGUUGGAUCUGCGCCUCAGGACUUGGUCCGCCCACUGGGCGAGAACUGGGCUCCUGGGCUAGUUGUGCUGGUUUUCCCUACGUUGCCUUCAUCGGUCGCGUAGGGUGGCUAGCGAGUUUACUUUGAAAAAAUUAGAGUGCUUCACGCGGGCUUAUGUCUGAAUAGUCGUGCAUGGAAUAAUAGAAUAGGAUCUCGGUUCUAUUUUGUUGGUUUUCUGAUCUGAGAUAAUGGUUAAGAGGGACGGACGGGGGCAUUCGUAUCGCUGCGUGAGAGGUGAAAUUCUUGGACCGUAGCGAGACGUCCGACUGCGAAAGCAUUUGCCAAGAAUGUCUUCAUUAAUCAAGAACGAAAGUCAGAGGUUCGAAGGCGAUCAGAUACCGCCCUAGUUCUGACCGUAAACGAUACCAACUAGCGUUCCGUCGGCGGUAAAUACGCCUUGACGGGCAGCUUCCCGGAAACGAAAGUCUUUCGGUUCCGGGGGAAGUAUGGUUGCAAAGCUGAAACUUAAAGAAAUUGACGGAAGGGCACCACCAGGAGUGGAGCCUGCGGCUUAAUUUGACUCAACACGGGAAAACUCACCUGGCCCGGACACCGUGAGGAUUGACAGAUUGAGAGCUCUUUCUUGAUUCGGUGGUUGGUGGUGCAUGGCCGUUCUUAGUUGGUGGAGUGAUUUGUCUGGUUUAUUCCGAUAACGAGCGAGACUCUAGCCUACUAAAUAGUCAUCGGAUAAACAAGUCCGGAAGACUUCUUAGAGGGACAAGCGGUGUUCAGCCGCAUGAAGUUGAGCAAUAACAGGUCUGUGAUGCCCUUAGAUGUCCAGGGCUGCACGCGCGCGCUACACUGGAGGAAUCAGCGUGCUGUAACCAUUACCGAAAGGUAUUGGUAACCCCUUGAAAAUCCUCCGUGAUCGGGAUCGGGAAUUGCAAUUAUUUGCCUUGAACGAGGAAUUCCUAGUAAGUGUGAGUCAGCCCGGGACUGAGCCGUUUCGAGAAAAGCGGAGACUGCUGUUUCGAGACCUUCCGAGGUGGAGAUUCUUUGGUGGAAACCGCCUUAAUCGCAGUGGCUUGAACCGGGCAAAAGUCGUAACAAGGUUUCCG
rnacentral:rRNA from 1 species